ensembl:lincRNA
CUAACCUCCACAGCAAUGCUGGGAGGAAUUACUAUGACCCCCCGCUCUACAAAUAAUGAAGCCAGGAGCCCGAAGGUGUGAAACCAGCCACAUUCACACAGCUGCUUAAGGGGCAGAACUGAAACUGGAACACAGGAACUGUAGCUAUCAAAGCCCAUUUUUAUUUUAAUCAAUAUGUUAUACCAUUUCCCUGGAGAAGCAAGUCAGAAUCACUUGAUUUUUGGAAAAUGCAAGACAUGCAGUAGACAUAUGGAGAAGUAGGUGACAUAGACCUAUAUGAAGCUUUGGCAGUUCAAAGGGUCAGAGAGACCCCUCAAAGAAAGAUACUGGCCUUGUUGAACAGCUGGACUGACAGGCCCAAGUGAAUGAACACCCAUGCCCCUGGAAACUGCAUCAGAGGAGAAAACAGAGAAACUUCCUUUGAGCCUGACUGGGUAUUCAGUGACCAUCAGAUCAUUUCAUUUGGAUUGUUGCUGAGGAAUUGUUGCAACCUAUGGACUACAAGUAUAUUUCCCUUCACCUGUGAGUUCAUGUGUGUUUGGUAUCUGGGUCUCACCAAGGAGAAUGCACAGGAGACAGGAUUUUUUUUUUUUUUAAAGUAGAGUAACUUUUGCACGUCUUUUCUUUUGCUCUAUCCACAAAUGUUGAAGAAGUCCUAGAGGUUUAGAAUGAAAACAGCCUGAGUCAUCCACUACCAAAACACCCUCUAAGGUUGUUAAAUUGAUAAGAAAGGAACUUCCAUGCUUUAGGCUACUGAAAUUGUGUUGAUUUAUUACAACAACUGCCAUAGUUACCUUAACUGGUAAAUUCACAGAUUUGUUGGAAUCCUGACCAAACUGGAAAAGUGGCAGUAACCAUGGAAAAGUCAAAGACAAAAUGACAGCCAAAUCACACCAGUAAAUAAGUGGAGUGAAGACACGUCUAUUUUCACAGCUGAACACUGGAAAUUGCAAAUUUGAUUGCCACUGGCAUUGGAUGCUGGAACUGCUUCUGUUUUUACUGACACUAGCAUACCGGGAUACUUCGAAGUUGCUGUAGUCUCUGCAAUAUUGAGUGUUGGAAGGUGCUAGAAAAUGAGUGUCUGUCUUUUUUGUCUUUUGUACUGGAAGGCAAUCACCUAGACCUAUGCUGGAGAGUCAUCCUACAAGGUCAUUCAAAUGUACAAUAAACUGGCAUGUGUAUUAGUUACUUAUUAUAGUACAAUAAGUUAAUCACAAAUAUGAAUGACUAAAACAAAAAAUGUUUAGUAUCUUGCAGUUUCUCUGGUCAGGAAUGUAUUGACAGCUUAACUGAGUGGUUCUAGCUCAAGGUCUUUCAUGAAGGACCUGGUAGGGGCUGCAGGCAUCUGCUGUCUUGACAGGAGCUGGGGAAUUUGCUUACACGGUGACCCACUCACAUGGCCAUUGGAAGGAGGCACCAAUUUCCUGCCACAUGGGCCUCUUCGUAGGACUACAUUUGUGUUAUCAUGAUGUAGCAGCUGGCUUCUCCAGCGUGAGUAACGUAAGGGGGAGGAAGACAGGCAGAAGCCACGAUUUUUGUUAUAACUUAGCCUCAUAAACUACAUGUCAUCACUUCUGUCAUAUUUAUUGAUCACAUAAAGCAACAAUGAUAUAAAGAAGAAGAGUAGAGUUUAUUUCAUCACUUACAUUUCAAUUUUGGCUACUCAAUUUUAAUCAUAGAGUCUACAAUAGGGGUUUACUUUAUUAAUCCAAGUAGUACCAAAUAUUACUCUGAGUUUGCUUAAUUAAUAUCCCUAUGAAUUCCUGGGGUUUCAGUCCACUUUGGGAAGAGGCUAGUUUGUUUUCAUAUCUUAAAAGUGAGUAAUAUCAGCAUUGUUGGUAAUUCUAUACCUUCAUAUUCCCAAAGUAGUAUCAAGCAAGUACAUGGUAAGAAUGAGCAUGAGAAGUUGAUGCUGUUCAGUUAUCUGGAUAGCAGGCUAAGCAUUAUUGAUAGAAAAAUCUGAAGCUAUACUCAGAAAACUCAGAACUUCAUGGCAACUUUUUUUUUUAAUUAAAAUACAGUUCUUAAGGUUUCAAGGUUUUAUUUCUGUUUUUGUCAAAAAAAAACUGUUCUUUCAGAGACCAAUAGUUAGAGGAAGAAACAAAUUCUAUGGACCUCUGGUACAAUUUCCCAAUCUGUGAGCUACCAGACCUGAGUGUUUUGGUAAGAGGUCCACAAAAUCAAAUAUAGCAUUCCAUUGUCUGCAGACCAGUUAAUGACUGGAUAGUAUUUUAAUAUAUGUCAUAUGUACAAAUACAAAAAUAUCCUCCAAAAUGGGAAGAUUGGGAACACAAAUUAGAGCCAUCAAAAAUGCACAUUUUUCCAAUUCCAGGUGACUGAUUAAUUUGUAAAUGGAUUCAACCAUACUCUUUGGGUUUCAAUUUUGUACAAAGCAAUGCACACAAAUACAUAUGUAUCAACCAACAAUUAGGAUGUACAUUUUGUGUCUUAAAUAUCCUGUCAUUGAUAUUUGAGUGGAGUUUUAUUGGGAUCUAAUUGUAUCUACUUUCUGCAGGAGACAAAUUAGUUCAUACCUUAUCUUGACUUAUAGAGGAAUUACUUUUUCAACAGUUUGGAGAGGUGUACAAUUUACCAUACCUUCUUACCUGUAUUAUCUUAGUUUUACGGUGAAUAAUAGCAACAAGAUAUUUUGAUCGGAAAAAUCCUGGUAUUUACUACUGAAGUAGUGGUGAAAUAAAAUGACAAACAUUCCUUAUCUGAUAAAAAUAUAUGCAAACCAGCUUUUGUCUUAACCAGUAGAAUAAUAAGAAAUAGAUUAGUUCCCUUCUCCAUUUUCUGUAGCCUUAUAUUUGUUUACCUACGCAUGAUGAAAAGCAGAUUACUUUCUGAUUACACUGAAGGGUUAUUCAUGUUAUUUGGGGUAUUAUAUUUUUAGGAUUAUGUAUUAUUACAUUUUAUUGUAAAAACAUAUGCUGUAGUCUUAUGGAAUAAUAAAGUAAUGACUAUGUCAUAAAGAAAUAAUGUAAACAUAGACUUAAUUUCUUGGCAAUAUUUUAUAACAAGUAUUUC